rnacentral:rRNA from 1 species
GAUGAAUGCUGGCGGCGUGCCUAAUACAUGCAAGUCGAGCGAACAGAUAAGGAGCUUGCUCCUUUGACGUUAGCGGCGGACGGGUGAGUAACACGUGGGUAACCUACCUAUAAGACUGGGAUAACUUCGGGAAACCGGAGCUAAUACCGGAUAACAUUUGGAACCGCAUGGUUCUAAAGUGAAAGAUGGUUUUGCUAUCACUUAUAGAUGGACCCGCGCCGUAUUAGCUAGUUGGUAAGGUAACGGCUUACCAAGGCGACGAUACGUAGCCGACCUGAGAGGGUGAUCGGCCACACUGGAACUGAGACACGGUCCAGACUCCUACGGGAGGCAGCAGUAGGGAAUCUUCCGCAAUGGGCGAAAGCCUGACGGAGCAACGCCGCGUGAGUGAUGAAGGGUUUCGGCUCGUAAAACUCUGUUAUUAGGGAAGAACAAAUGUGUAAGUAACUGUGCACGUCUUGACGGUACCUAAUCAGAAAGCCACGGCUAACUACGUG